rnacentral:rRNA from 1 species
CGGGUAUGCAUGGGCCGGAGGCGGCGGUAGGACAGAGGGUGAAUGAGUUAUUCGUAGAUGUUGGGCGUAAAUGCCGCUUAGGCGGGUGCGUGAGUCGGAGGUGCAAUCCCCGGGCUCAACCCGUGAACUGCAUCCGAGACUGGGAGGCUAGAGUACUGGGUAGGUUGGGGGAAUUCCUCGUGUAGCGGUGAAAGGCGUAGAGAUGAGGGGGAACACCAGUGGCGAAGGCGGCCAACUGGACAGUAACUGACGCGGAGGCGCGAAAGCGUGGGUAGCAAACAGGAUUAGAUACCCGGUAGUC